CUUCAAAGCUACAAGGGUAGCUUUCCUGAAGAGUGCAAAAACUUCUUUAGCUUUCAAAAUGGUAUAUAGUACAAACAGUGAAGCUAAUAUAGACACAUCUGAUCAUUCAUCAUCAACAAUAACUGCAUCUGAGAAUUAUAGUUCUACAGUAACCGUGGAGUCUAGGUCAACAAUUACUAUUUCUCAUCCAAGCCGUUUUUGUUUAACUGCUACACAUUCCCUGACUCUGCCAAGGAAAAGGGUAAAAUCAAAAUGAUAUCCUGAGGACCUAAGCACUGAUGAUUCCACCGUUUCAAGAGCUUAAUCACUUGUCACCAGAUUAUGGAAAAAAAAUAUAGAACAAAAAAUUAAAAUUCGAAGAUUGCAACAAGCAAAUUUGCGCCAAAGAAAUUGAAUUAGAUGUCUCAAGUCAUUAUUAAAAUA